GACAGAGGUUGCAAACGUUGUUCGGAAUUACUGGGCAUAAAGCGCACGUAGGUGGUCCGCUAAGUCGGAUGUGAAAUUCCCCGGCUCAACCGGGGAACGGCAAUCGAUACUGGCGGGCUUGAGGUCCGGAGGGGUGAGUGGAACUCCUGGUGGAGCGGUAAAAUGCGUAGAUAUCAGGAGGAACACCAGUGGCGAAAGCGGCUCACUGGCCGGAAUCUGACACUGAGGUGCGAAAGCUAGGGUAGCAAACGGG
rnacentral:rRNA from 1 species